GUCUCUUCCAACUCUAUGAUUCUAUGGAGUGCUGCUCUUUUCCAGAAGCAGGUAUUGAUCAUAGAAUCAUAGAAUCAUAGAGUUGGAAGAGAC